rnacentral:rRNA from 1 species
AGAGUUUGAUCAUGGCUCAGGACGAACGCUUGCGGCGUGCCUAAGAAAUGCAAGUCGAACGGAUGGCUUCGGCCAUUAGUGGCGAACGGUCGCGUAACACGUAAGCAACCUGCCCAGAAGUUGGGGACAACGGACCGAAAGGUCCGCUAAUACCGAAUGUGGUUUUUUGGUGGCAUCACCGAAUAACUAAAGCUUAAUGCGCUUCUGGAUGGGCUUGCGGCCUAUCAGAUAGUUGGUGGGGUAAUGGCCUACCAAGUCUAUGACGGGUAGCUGGUCUGAGAGGACGGCCAGCCGGAUUGGGACUGAGAUACGGCCCAGACUCCUACGGGGGGCAGCAAUUAGGAAUCUUGCACAAUGGGGGAAACCCUGAUGCAGCGACGUCGCGUGUGGGACGAAGGCCCUCGGGUCGUAAACCACUUUUGCCAGGGAAGAAAAAAAUGACGGUACCUGGUGAAUAAGCCCCGGCUAACUACGUGCCAGCAGCCGCGGUAAUACGUAGGGGGCGAGCGUUGUCCGAAGUUACUGGGCGUAAAGCGCGCGUAGGCGGCUUUUUAAGUUUGAGGUGAAAGGUUCAGCGCUCAACGUGAACAGUGCCUUGAAUACUGGGAAGCUUGAAUGUGACAGAGGGUCGUGGAAUUUCUGGUGUAGCGGUGAAAUGCGUAGAUAUCANNAAGGAACACCAAUGGCGAAGGCAGCGACCUGGGUUAACAUUGACGCUGAGGUGCGAAAGCGUGGGGAGCGAACGGGAUUAGAUACCCUAGUAGUCC